UACGUAGGAGGCAAGCGUUGUCCGGAAUUACUGGGCGUAAAGCGCGUGUAGGCGGGAAGCUCAGUCUGUGGUGAAAGCGCCUGGCUUAACCGGGCGAGGUCCAUGGAAACUAGCUACCUAGAGGCCGGUAGAGGGGGGUGGAAUUCCGGGUGUAGUGGUGAAAUGCGUAGAGAUCCGGAGGAACACCAGUGGCGAAAGCGGCUUCCUGGUCCAGCACCGACGUUCAGGCACGAAAGCGUGGGGAGCAAACAGG
rnacentral:rRNA from 1 species